AUGAUUGAACUUCCUCUGAAAGAAAAAUCUCUUCUCCCUCAAUCUCUCAUCCGCCGCUCACUUCUUCACUUUGAAACUACCUCACCGCCACAGCUUUUUCCUCACAUCUCCGAUGACACCUCAUCAUUUACCUCAUUCCAUUGUAAACACAACAUCGCCACCACCUCCCUCAUGGUUUCGACUCCAUCUCGCUUUCGUUCUUCAUAUCAAAUUCGGAGUCGCCUUCUUCAAAGUUAUGUCUCAUUUAAGUUUCGUCUCCUUCGUAUAUCACGCCUUAGUCUCACUUUGAUUCCGUGA